UUUGUGUUUCGCGGGAAAUAGUUGCCAAAAACGAACCCUCGGCACUGAUCUAUAAUAUGAAACAACGGGUUCCAGUCAAACAUGUUCAGCAUGAAGGCCGGGAGUGUGUUGACCACGAAAAGCUUGCCUGAUGCGAUCAUAUUCGCCCGUUG
rnacentral:ncRNA from 1 species